UGGCCGUUUCCGCUUGUCGCUUUGUCCGCAUAUUGAAGAUGACAGAAAACAAGGAAGAAAAAAUGCACACAACCUUCAGAAGAAAAGAUAUUAAUCGCCUACCAGUGACAGAGACCACAACCUUAGUAUCCAGUUAUCCAUCAAUCAUCAGUCACCACUCUCGUCGAAGUUACAAUCUGACGAGUACAUCCACUUGCGUGACGCCAUCGCUACUGAAGGAGACGUGACCAACAUUGGUCAUUUGACCAUUCUCUCAGCUACUCAUGUUGGAAGCCCACACAUGAUGCAUUCAAUCGUGAAUUGCAACGGGAGCAAGACUAUGAUCUAGAUGAGCUGGCUGAAAGAGUUGAACAAAUGUGCCAAAAAUAGAGCCAAACACCAUCUUCCUCUUUUGUUUAACAUAAUCAAAAAUCAGUGAAAAACUAUACCAAUAAUUAUACCACUAAAUAGCAGAUUUGUGAUGUUUAAAACAUUUUGUUUUAAACAUCUAAAUUAAUCAAACAUGGUUUUGUUUAAAACAAAUGAUUUAAACAAUAUAAAAAAAACAGUUGUUUAAAA